UUCCUGAUGGUCCUUUACGACGUCACCUACCUCAUCCAUCAUCCACCACCUCCCAACGCCGACAGCCACUACCUCGAACUUGACACCCAUGUCGUCCCCACCAUGUACGCCACCCUUACAGAUCAGAUCAUCAAUCAUGUGAUCGGCGCCACCACCACCUAUGCUCUCUGGACUCGGAUCCAAGACUACUUCCUUGCCAAUCGUGCGGCCCACUACAUGAUUCUAAACCGGCAGUACCGCAACCUCAAGCAGGGUGACCUUUUCGUCGACGAGUACGCGCGCCGCAUGAAGCUCCUCACCACCGGUCUCGCGGACAUUGAUCAUGCCGUCACCGAGGUCGACCUCACCACGCAGUUUCUACACGGCCUCGACGGGCGCUUCGACACCAUCCGUGUGGUUCUGGGGGACACCGUUCCCUUGCCACCCUUCAAGACCAUCUUCUUGCGC
rnacentral:rRNA from 1 species